GCCCACUGAUGAGAUAAUGGCAAGUUUUAUGAUCCAGUCAGACCAAGAGAUUAUGAGCUCUAGCCUUCUGUUAGGUGGGUAGUCUUGGUGGUGUGGUUGAGUUAUAUUACACUGCUGUAAGGGCCCACCCACAGUUAAGGUGUCAUCUUCAGCUACAACCUCUGUCCACCCCAAGAGCAAUGGGAUGGGACAAGUGGGAGAUGUCAAACAGUGUGCAGAUGUUUGUUUGUCUCUGUCUGUGUGUGCGUGUUGUGUAAAUGUAUAUGUAUCAGUUGGAUAGAUGGUAUAGUCUCUCUGUAGAUGGUUUGGCUGGUAUGAACUACAAUCUUUGGUAAUCUGAGGGCA